rnacentral:rRNA from 1 species
AUGGGUCUGCCCAUGGCGCGCGGCCCGUGCUGCUGCUCGCCCUCGCCGUCGUCGUCGUCGUCCUCCUCCUCCUCCUCUCCGUGGAUGCUGCAGGCCCAUCUCCCCAAGCACCCCCACUCUCCACUGGGCGGGAGGUCAGUUUGCUCUGAAUCCCUGAGAGUUCUUGCCCUGCAUCUCUUGCUCAAUCGGCGCGCUAAUCUUAGCCGGCGCCGGGGUGAGAUUGUCGGAACUGCUGUGUCUUCACCCGGUUUGCUUCAGAUAACAGAGAACAAGGCAAGCAGCUCACCAAUAAUAAAGGUGGAUGCAGAAAGAACAUCCCUUGAUGGUGCUCUUGACAGAAAUGCGCAGUUCAACAUGUCUGCUUGGAUGGAUGUAUCGCACACAAGUAGCAACAGUUUGGAGUAUAACUUAUUGAUGCAAAACAUCCACGUGUUACAGAGUAGUUUGGCUGCUCAAGAUUUGGUGGUGCUUGAAAGAGAUAUCCUUGUACAUAUUGAACAGCUUGGAGCUCUGAAAUGGUUUAACGCGUCGAGGUCUGGUGCCACCAUAACACAUACCUCACAUGAAACAGAUUUUGCACUUCCUUGGAAUGAUACCAAAUUCACUCCGAUAACUCCUCUCGAGGAGCAAAGCGAUGAUCAAUUGGUGAUUAUUCGAAGCGGGAAAAGCCAAGAGAGGAAACUGAAGAGAAUUAGAGCGUCAGAAAAGAUCCCCGGGGUUUGUGUAAAAGCAUCCUCACGAAAACCAAGAAAAUCACGCAGGUCCACUAGUAGUCAAUUUAUAACUGAGUGGAAAAACUAUCCAGGCCGGCGAAGGAGCAUAGUUCGGGAACAGUCGGAGUUGCUGGUGACUAUCAAGGAAUGUGCAAACCUUGAGAAGAUCAGGGAAAACAUGGUGAAGGAAGGGCAGGAGGUCUGCUAUGAUAAGUGGGCCAAAGCAGCUGGAGUUGAUGAAGCGGCCCUGAAGAGUAGACUGCAAGCCGGAUACUGCUGCAGAGAGAGGUUACUGGUGACCACCGAGUGGCUUGUCAAAUACAUUGCAAGGACAUACACCGGAAUGGGGACAGCUUUCGAGGAUCUACUCCAGGCUGGGAAAAUGGGUGUCCUUGAUGGCGCUGAGAGGUUCGACAGCCGGAGAGGAUGCAAAUUCUCAACCUAUGUGAAGUACUGGAUAAGGAAACCCAUGCUAGCGCUCCUCGCUGAAAAUUCUGGAGUGAUCCAGCUGCCCGCAAGGAUGGAUUGUAUCAUCCGAAAGGUCAGGGAAGCUAAGCGGGCAAUUCGAUCCAGCACUGGGCGGAAUCCAAUAGACGCGGAGAUCGCGACCUUCGUUGGCGCGUCGGUUGCCAAUGUUAGAUUGGCUCGGAAGUGCUCCCGUCGUGUCGUUUCACUCUACAUGGAGGUCGGGGCCGGACAGAACGCCAAGUUCGUGGACGUGACCCCAGACACAUCACUAGAAGACCCAGAGGAGGCCAUCUUCCGGAGGCAGCUGAGGGAGAGGCUUCUCCUGGUCCUGGACAGGCUCCCGGCGAGGGAAGGGCGCGUGCUGAAGCUGCGACACGGCCUCGAGGAUGGCAGGUGCCGGUCCCUGGAGCAGAUCGGAGGCAUCUACCACGUGUCCAAGGAAUGGAUCAGGAAGAUCGAAAAGUCAGCUAUGUUGAAGCUCAGGAACGAGGACGUGCAUGAUGAGCUGAAGGACUUCUGUGGAUUCUAG